GAUGAACGCUGGCGGCGUGCCUAAUACAUGCAAGUCGAGCGAACGGACGAGAAGCUUGCUUCUCUGAUGUUAGCGGCGGACGGGUGAAUAACACGUGGAUAACCUACCUAUAAGACUGGGAUAACUUCGGGAAACCGGAGCUAAUACCGGAUAAUAUUUUGAACCGCAUGGUUCAAAAGUGAAAGACGGUCUUGCUGUCACUUAUAGAUGGAUCCGCGCUGCAUUAGCUAGUUGGUAAGGUAACGGCUUACCAAGGCAACGAUGCAUAGCCGACCUGAGAGGGGGGACGGGCCAAACGGAAACGGAGACCCGGGCCGAACCCCUACGGGAGGAAGCGGGAGGGAAUUUUCCGCAAUGGGCGAAAGCCUAAGGGGGCAACGCCGGGUGGGUGAUGAGGGCUUUGGGAUGUGAAAACUUUUUUAUUAGGGAAAAAAAUUUGUGUAAGUAACGUUGCAAAUCUUGACGGUACCUAAUCAAAAAGCCACGGCUAACUACGU
rnacentral:rRNA from 1 species